AUUAUCUUGGCAGAUUAGUGUAAAGGAUUUAGAAUCUUUGAAUGUAAUGAAAUUUACAGAUAAUA
rnacentral:tRNA from 1 species